rnacentral:lncRNA from 1 species
AGUGUAUUAUCAUUUUUUUAGGUCAUGGCCUUAUUACACUCCCGCGACGUCAAACAUGAGAUAUUAUUAUAUACAUUAUUGUCAGCAGUCGUUUCUGUAUCAUUUAUCAAUAAAUUUAUCAUCCAUUAAUUCCAAACAAAAAACGCAGGAAGAUUAAACAAAAGUUUCUUUAACUACAACAAACUCGACUCGCAUGGGAACGCAUUCUCUAUUUUGCAAUUAGCAAAUUGAAUGAAAGCCGUUUCAAUGACGAAUCAAUAGAUUUUGUAAUUAAGGCAAGGUCUGUUGGUAACAGAUGCUCCUAAUCCAGCAACAGGCCAGAUACAUUGCAGUGUAAACGUAUAUGGACUUUUACAGUUGCAUAAAAGAGUUAGCGGUAAAUGGACAGUAUUGGGAGCUAAAGGACAUUACUUUUGAUCUGUAUAAAAACUGGAAUGAACUAAAACUAUUUUUCUAGAGAUGUCGGAUGUUACUUGCCAUAAUGCUGACACCGACCAGGGUCUGCGUCAGGAAGCUGAACCGAAGGCACCUUUGCAAAUGAACUUGACGACCCAGCAGACGACAAGUGAAAAAGAGGCGGGAAGUCAAAACUUCUGCAGACGACAACUUAGUCGUCACUUACAAAUUAAACGAAAGGAGGGAAAAACUGACAAACAAGUACAAACUCUCAUAAGUGGAGAUUUCUUCGUUAACACAGCUAACGUGUAUUCUGGACAUCUUGUUGAAUAGGAACUACAGACAGCUUUUACAACAAAAUUACACGAAAAAACCCUCAAACAUUCUGCGUUUGUAUUUCCGCAAAUGUUGUACAAUAGUAUAGCUCUAGCAUGAUGGACAUCUUUUCUUUCUUUAUAAACUUCAGUUUAUUUUAGAAUAAAACAUGUUUCUAUCUUUA